rnacentral:misc_RNA from 1 species
CGCACAUUGCGCCCACUGGUAUUCCAAUGGGCAUGCCUGUUCGAGCGUCAUUAUCAACCAUCAAGCCCGGCUUGCAGUUGGGAUCCAUCGUGAAAAGACGAUCGUUCCAAAAGGCAAUGGCGGUGUCAAAAAACCCCUGAUGCAGUGAGCUUUUUACGCAUACAUCUUGGUGGACUUUUGGCCCAAGCCUUUAACCAACCCAUUUCUAAGGUUGACCUCGGAUCAGGUAGGAUUACCCGCUGAACUUAA